rnacentral:lncRNA from 1 species
GACCAGGAUUUUAUAAACUUUUCCUCCAAACUGCAAUUUCUAUUUUCUUUUGCGAUGACUAAAGCAUUCAAGUCGAAAGGACAAGAUUGUCUUUCUCAAGCAAGAAUUGUUCUCCUACGUACCAGAAUGACUGGUUCAUUGGAGGAUGAGGAGCUGAGAGUCAACGGCACUCAACAAUGAGCGCGGCACUUUAAGAUGAAGAAUGUUUAUAUAGAGUGUUGCUUGUGGACUUACAGAAUAUUUGAACUGAAGGGAUGUGAGACCAUAGAGAUUUUUAAGAGUGAGCCCUACGGAAGUGUUGUGGAUGACUACAAGAGCUGCCAGUGGAGGACCUUGCUUCUGGGAGAUGGCCUUCCUUUGAUCUGGGCCUCAAGCAUAACCCAUGUGAUGCUCGAUGAUGCUCAAGGAACAAUGCUUUUUCAUUAUUCCAGAGAGCAUGCCCAGAGGCUGGUCUACUGGGGGACAUUUAAGACCCAAAAAGGUGGCCUCAUCCUUGAUUUUCAAGGACAAGAGAGUGAAAGUGAUCAUCAUAUUUAGAUGCUUAUAACGUUGGAAGAGAUGCUUGCUCUUCCUGCUCCAAUUUAUGUUUGGAUGAAUUAUCGAAAAGCUUUAAAAAUGCUCCUCUGAGGUACUAUACUGGGCUUCUGAUGACUAUGUUAGUAGAAGCUCAAUUUCUUGAAGAUUGUAAUUGUUGGACAAGGUAAUUUAGGAACAGAUACUUUUCUAAGGAAGGCCAGUGAAGAUCAGAAGCAUCAUGAAGGGCUUUGUUCAAGACUAACAUCUCCAGCUGCCCUGGUUAUCACCAGAGGGAGUAGUGGUUUGGGAUCCCAACAUGGCACCACGGGGAAACAUGGUUGGGACAACAUAUUUAGCCUAAGGGAUCUAAGAGUAAUGUCAGUAAUGGAAAGGAAGAAAGAGUAACUAGUACUUAGAGUAGUGUUAAGAGUAUGAAAUCUGCCUGGGUUCUAAUCUCGCCUCUGUCACUUACUCGCUGUGUCUCCUUGGGGAGGUUAUUUAGGCUCUCCAUACCCUUUGUCUUUAAAAGGGGGAUGAGGGGAUGCCUGGGUGGCUCAGUCGGUUAAAAAUCCGCUUUCAGCUCAGGUCAUGAUCCCACGGUCCUGGGAUGGAGCCCCACAUCAGCUCAGCGGGGAGUCUGCUUCUCUCCCUCCUUACUGCUCAUGCUCUUUCUCGUUAUCUCUGUCUCUCUCUCAAAUAAAUGAAUAUUAAAAAAAAGGGGGAUGAAAAUA